UGGGGAAUUUUGGACAAUGGGCGAAAGCCUGAUCCAGCAAUGCCGCGUGUGUGAAGAAGGCCUUCGGGUUGUAAAGCACUUUUGUCCGGAAAGAAAUCCUUGGCUCUAAUACAGUCGGGGGAUGACGGUACCGGAAGAAUAAGCACCGGCUAACUACGUGCCAGCAGCCGCGGUAAUACGUAGGGUGCAAGCGUUAAUCGGAAUUACUGGGCGUAAAGCGUGCGCAGGCGGUUUGCUAAGACCGAUGUGAAAUCCCCGGGCUCAACCUGGGAACUGCAUUGGUGACUGGCAGGCUAGAGUAUGGCAGAGGGGGGUAGAAUUCCACGUGUAGCAGUGAAAUGCGUAGAGAUGUGGAGGAAUACCGAUGGCGAAGGCAGCCCCCUGGGCCAAUACUGACGCUCAUGCACGAAAGCGUGGGGAGCAAACAGGAUUAGAUACCCUGGUAGUCCACGCCCUAAACGAUGUCAACUGGUUGUUGGGGAUUCAUUUCCUUAGUAACGUAGCUAACGCGUGAAGUUGACCGCCUGGGGAGUACGGUCGCAAGAUUAAAACUUAAAUGAAUUGA
rnacentral:rRNA from 1 species